UACGAAGGGGGCUAGCGUUGCUCGGAAUCACUGGGCGUAAAGGGUGCGUAGGCGGGUCUUUGAGUCAGGGGUGAAAUCCUGGAGCUCAACUCCAGAACUGCCUUUGAUACUGAAGAUCUUGAGUUCGGGAGAGGUGAGUGGAACUGCGAGUGUAGAGGUGAAAUUCGUAGAUAUUCGCAAGAACACCAGUGGCGAAGGCGGCUCACUGGCCCGAUACUGACGCUGAGGUGCGAAAGCGUGGGGAGCAAACAGG
rnacentral:rRNA from 1 species